AGCUGGAACUUACUCAGUUCCGGCACCUUUCAGGUGGGUGCAGUUGACAUGAUAAGACAAGGAAGAUAUUCAUGAAGUAUCUCAGGAAAAGUGGGCCUAUUUCUGCUCCUAAACAAGACACUCUCCCUUUGUGGACAAAGAAGUUGGAAGAAGGGAGACCAAGAAGAUGAUCCUUUAUUCUGUCCCAUAAUUUUAGGCAGUGGAUUCAGGCGAUUUUUCUUGUUCCAGAUUUCACAAUAAUGACUUUCAUCAUUUUCUACAGCACCUUUUCUGCAUAUUCCGGGCAGUGCUAGGAUCUGGCAUGCAAAUCUUUAUUAAUAGGUUGAUCACAAUGAGGAAUGUAAUAAACGUUGAAAGAUAAAGCUAAACAGGAAUCUGAAUGCAUUGAACACAUGGAAGAUACCAAAUUACCUCUGCAAGAUAUUUGAUCAAUAUUUUCCCCGUGAUAAAAUAUAUUUCAUUCAGGAUUUUACUGUAUCAUCCUGUAGAGCAGAUGUAUUUGUAAUUUAAUUGUCACAAAGAGCCUUUAAUUACAAUACUCAAAAAUGACUUGCGGUUUAUUACAUUUUGUAGCAUUGUUAAGACCUUCUUACAGGCCUCUUCUGUCUUUAUAUGCUUGUCUUAUUUAUGCACACUAUUACGCAUCACUGUUUUCACUCUUUUU